rnacentral:rRNA from 1 species
ACCGCUGGCGGCGUGCUUAACACAUGCAAGUCGCCUGAAGCAUAUGCGACGGAGUUUUUCGGAACAAAGAUGCAUAUGACUGAGUGGCGGACGGGUGAGUAACGCGUGGGUAACCUGCCUCACACAGGGGGAUAGCAGUUGGAAACGACUGGUAAUACCGCAUAAGCGCACGGUACCGCAUGGUACAGUGUGAAAAACUUAAGGUGGUGUGAGAUGGACCCGCGUCUGAUUAGCUAGUUGGUGAGAUAAAAGCCCACCAAGGCGACGAUCAGUAGCCGACCUGAGAGGGUGACCGGCCACAUUGGGACUGAGACACGGCCCAGACUCCUACGGGAGGCAGCAGUGGGGAAUAUUGCACAAUGGAGGAAACUCUGAUGCAGCGACGCCGCGUGAGUGAAGAAGUAUUUCGGUAUGUAAAGCUCUAUCAGCAGGGAAGAUAAUGACGGUACCUGACUAAGAAGCUCCGGCUAAAUACGUGCCAGCAGCCGCGGUAAUACGUAUGGAGCAAGCGUUAUCCGGAUUUACUGGGUGUAAAGGGAGUGUAGGUGGCACAGCAAGUCAGAAGUGAAAGCCCGGGGCUCAACCCCGGGACUGCUUUUGAAACUGUUGGGCUGGAGUGCAGGAGAGGUAAGUGGAAUUCCUAGUGUAGCGGUGAAAUGCGUAGAUAUUAGGAGGAACACCAGCGGCGAAGGCGGCUUACUGGACUGUAACUGACACUGAGGCUCGAAAGCGUGGGGAGCAAACAGGAUUAGAUACCCUGGUAGUCCACGCUGUAAACGAUGAAUACUAGGUGUCGGG